rnacentral:rRNA from 1 species
GACGAACGCUGGCGGCGUGCCUAAUACAUGCAAGUCGAGCGGAUCUUCAUUAGCUUGCUUUUGAAGAUCAGCGGCGGACGGGUGAGUAACACGUGGGCAACCUGCCCGUAAGACUGGGAUAACUUCGGGAAACCGGAGCUAAUACCGGAUAAUCCUUUUCCUCUCAUGGGGAAAAGCUGAAAGACGGUUUCGGCUGUCACUUACAGAUGGGCCCGCGGCGCAUUAGCUAGUUGGUGAGGUAACGGCUCACCAAGGCGACGAUGCGUAGCCGACCUGAGAGGGUGAUCGGCCACACUGGGACUGAGACACGGCCCAGACUCCUACGGGAAGCAGCAGUAGGGAAUCUUCCGCAAUGGACGAAAGUCUGACGGAGCAACGCCGCGUGAGCGAUGAAGGCCUUCGGGUCGUAAAGCUCUGUCGUCAGGGAAGAACAAGUACCGGAGUAACUGCCGGUACCUUGACGGUACCUGACCAGAAAGCCACGGCUAACUACGUGCCAGCAGCCGCGGUAAAAC